AUUGAACAAAAGCAGUCAAAAUCAACGUACGCAGAUCGUGUCUAGUGAAUGAACAGAAUUUGUUUUCAACAACGCACGUCUCUUGCGAGCUUCUUUUUAGUGUAUUUGGAAUAAUUGAGUGGGAAAAACGAAAUGACAUUCGAAAGCAACGAACAACAGAGCGAACAAGAUGACAAACACAACUACCGAUAUCGACGGUUUUUGUCACAGUUUAUCGCAGCAUCGGUCAAAAAUUUACUUCUUUUUGAUCUUGGCAUGUGUAUAGCGUUUCCAACUGUAAUAAUUCCAGCUUUAACGGGCAUCACAAAUGAGUUCAACCGAAAUGAAUAUCUUUCACUCACACCGUCUCAAGUUUCGUGGCUGGGGAGCAUUCCUUAUAUCCUUAAGCCACUGGGAAGUGUUAUAUCAGCGAUAAUCACGGAUCCCUUAGG